rnacentral:lncRNA from 1 species
GGACAACACAACAUUCAUGGAUCCUUUUAUAAAAAAUGAAGGCCUAUCAAAUAUUUCAUUAGGCACUUAUUAUAUAACGUGUCAAUCCAUUUCUUAACUCUGAUCUUUUAAACAACAGCGAAGUCUCACUCUAGCUAUAUAUGGAGAUGAAGAAGAUGGAGAAGGAGGAUGACACCAUCAUUGUUGGCGCCAGCAUCACUGUCAUAAUAGGGUAGUGGUAGCAAAUAGAUAUCACGGUCCAAUGCAUGCAUGUGUAAUGCAUUGCUUGGGAUCCAACCCAAUCUAGUAUAGCUAGCAUAGGUCAGCUUAAAGUAUUGUCAGCACUAAAGUUAAUUAUUUGGCGGUGUAGGCGGUGUUGGCCUUCCAGUUGGCAGGGAUGACAUCGUCGUAGACGGACUUGGUGCCUCCCUCGGUAGUGAGGCGGACGGUGAGGGGUCCCUUAAGCGGUUUGUCGCUGUCCUUCCUCCAGAUGGCGCCCCAGGAGUGCUUCAGGGGCUCGUACGUGUCGGAGCCCUUCUCCUUGACGUCCACUGCCACAAUGUCACCGUCGCCGUCGACGUACUUGACCAACAGUGCCAGGUAGUUGGGGCCGCACCCCUUUUCAAGGUGGAAGGUGACCUUGGAGUCGUACUUGCACUUAACCCUUCGGAACUGCAUGUCGAUGAUGCCCGCCUUGCGCAGCUUCUCCUCCUCGCCCUUCUUGGCCAUGGCGCCGAACGCCGUGCCUGCUAAAUCGAAGUGGUACGCCGCGAUAGGCUCAUAGUUCAUGUCCGUUAUGUGCACCACCACGGGCUUGCCGGAGCACUCCACAGGCUUAUCGCACUUGAUCUCGAAGCAGGACCCACAACCCAGACCAUCCUUGAAGAUGGGGAUGUUGCCGCAUGCGCCCAUGCUAUUGAAGGGGGGCUUGUUCACGUCCUUGUACCCGCAGCCGCCACCGUUGUCAUCGGGACCGGCACCCGUCGGCUUGCCAUACCAUGUCGCUUUAGCGUCCAGCCAGUCCUUGCCAUAGGUGGCCGUGAUGUUCUUGCCUGGGGGGACUUUGGGAGGACCGCACCAUGCGCCGCUCACCAAGAACACCAACGCCACAACCAUCGCAACCUGUGCCCGCAUCGACGACCACAUGGUUCUCACAUUCACAGCCAUGUUUUGUCUUGGAUUAGUGAAUGGUACUAUGCUACAAUGAAUGAGAGGGUAGGCCUGAAUUUAUGGUUGUGUGUGCCAACGGUUGGACGAUCGAGCUUGCAACCGUGAAGCGCGCGCAUGCAUGCACCAACGAGGAGGUAGAGUUUGCAUGGUCGAGCGAGCUUUUCUCUUGGCCACCAGUUUACUAAUUGGUUCCGUAAGUCGAAGGCGACCAUGCAUGGUAGCUCUGCAUGCAAAGCUGCUCGUAUCGUCGCGAUACUUAUGCCAUGGUGCUACUUUGGCUAAUGGUGAAGCGAGGACUCUCCUUCUUCUCGCUUUGAAAGGGAAAUAACCUCAACAUUUCCUAUAAUUGAUUUUGGUGUUUGACGUCCAUCACAAAACCAUAUGGACUAAUUAGUUUGCCUAGUGGACAUUUUUCCCACGUGCAUAAAGUUCACAUAAACAUACAAAGAAAAGGACUUGAGUGAAUUCUACAAAGUUUGGAGCAUACAAGUUCUUGUGCUACCAGUAGCGCACCGGACACUGUCCGGUGUGCAUCGGACACUGUCUGUUACCCUAGCUGAGCACCUCGCGAACUGGUCGCUCUCGGGUUUUCUCAGCGUUAGUCCGCUAAAAUUCAUCGAACUGUCCGAUGCACCACCAGACUAUCCGGUGAGACAACGGAGCAACGAUCAACUUCGCUGACUACAGGGCAGUCUGCAGCGCAGAAGUCAGAAGUCAGUCUGCAAAGUCAGAACACACCAGACUGUUCGGUGUGCCACCAGACUAUCCAGUGCCACAAGAAGACAGUAAACUUCAACGGUCAAUAGCUCCAAACCCCAAUGGUCAACAGCUCCAAACCCCAACGGUCGACUCACGUGGCACUCACCGGAUAGUAAACAAUGCAGUGUUCCGUGCACCACCGGACUGUCCGGUGUGCCCAUCUACAGCAACGACUGGAAUAGUGGUUAGGGCUAUAAAUACCCCCGACCACCACCAUUCAAGCCACCCAAGCAUUGCAACUUCCUCAUUCAAUACUAGAGCAAAAGAAUACACUCCAAACACACAAUCAAAGCAUCAACCCCUCUCCAAGCUUCAAAAUCAAGUCAAGUGAUCAAAAGUGCUUAGUGACUUGAGAGAGGGUGAUUUGUGUUUGUUUUGUUGCUCUUGUUGCUUGGUUGCAUUCUUCUUCUCAUUCUAAACUUCUCAAGUGUUUUGUAAAGCAAGCGAGAGACACCUAAUUGUGUGGUGAUCCUUGCGGGGUCUUAGUGACACGUGUGAUUAAGAAGAUGCACUUAACCGGUCUAAGUGACCGAUUGAGAGAGGAAAAGGGUUGGAAUAGACCCAGCCUUUGUGGCCUCCUCAAUGGGGAGUAGGUUUCUUGGAACCGAACCUCGAGAAACAAAUCACCGUGUUCACUUGUGUUGAUCUUUAUCACUCGAUUUGUUUCUUCCCUCUCCUCUCUUCCUAAAAGUUCCCUUGCUCACAUUGAUUUGCGUUUGAUACCAAAGUUAUCCGCAUUGAUUGAGCAACUCAAAGCAAGGAGAACUAUCUCCCGCUCUUCGAAUUUAAUAUUAUUUAUCUCUAACCCUAACCCCGUGUGAAGUGCGUGUUCAAAGUUUAUAAUUUUCAAGUUUCGCCUAUUCACCCUCUCUAGGCGAUUUUCAUGCUUCCUAUGGAAGAAUGUCAUUGUUGCCACAUAUUUUUAAGUCAUUAUAUUGGAGCAAAGUGGCGUAACCAUGUCAACCUCUAUUAUUCGUGGAAACGAUCCUUCAGGGAUUGUCGCAAGUUAAUUGGUAUAUCAAAUGUGCGAAUGUAGGAUUUAAACAUAGCGUAAUCUUCAAGACUCCACAUCUAAAUGAACAACUAGAAAGAUGACUUGUCUAGACAAUUAUAGGGAAUUGAACCAUAAACAUUCGAGGUACUCCAAUUAUACAAAAAAUGUAAUUAUGAGAUUCGUGUUGGACAAACUAGGUCAAAUUUAACCAAAUUUAUAUUCAGUAUUCUUAAUAUUUAUAUCAAAUAUAUUAUACUAGAACUUUUAAUACAUAGUGAAAUGAACUGCGAGCUUUCCAAAGAACCCCAACAUUCUUCUUUGCUAAAAAGACUAUUUUGUAUGCGCAUGCAUAGGCAACUAAUUCUUCUAACUAGUUGUUAUAACAUUUUCUUUUAUAUAUACUAGUCAGUUGUCAGUAUGUUACUAUGUGUCGGCGUUUUGAGACCGGGGGGUCCCUAAGCCGACGAGUGAAUGUCGCUGCGUGCCCCAGCCCAGAUGGGUCGAGCGCGUGGGCGAGCGCGAUGGGGGGAAGCGAGGUGGCCGGAGAUGGGCGUGAGAGAGGUGGAAAUCCCGCGGCCUUCGUGUUCGUCCCGCGCCCAGGUCGGGUGCGCUUGCAGUAGGGGGUUACAAGCGUCCACGCGGGUGAGGGAAGCGAGCGGCCCCAAGAGAGCGCCUGUCCCGUCCUCGUCCCCGCGCGGCCAACCCUCUCUAAGAGGGCCCUGGUCCUUCCUUUUAUAGGCGUAAGGAGAGGAGCCAGGUGUACAAUGGGGGUGUAGCAGAGUGCUACGUGUCUAGCGGGGGAGAGCUAGCGCCCUAAGUACAUGCCGAUGUGGCAGCCGGAGAGAUCUUGGCACCCAGCUGGUGUGAUGUCGUGGCCGUCGGAGGAGCGACGGAGCCUGGCGGAGGGACAACUGUCGGAGCGGUUGAGUCCUUGCUGACGUCCUCCUGCUUCCGUAAGAGAGCUGAGAGCCGCCGUCGUCAUAGAGCAUGCGGGGCGCCAUCAUUGCCUAUCUGGCGGAGCUAGCCAGAUGGGACGCCGGUCUUGUUCUCUGCGGCCCGAGUCAGCUCGGGGUAGGGUGAUGAUGGCGCUUCCUGUUGACGUGGCUGGCCUGCGCCCUAGGUUGGGCGACGUGGAGGCUCCUCCGAAGCCGAGGUCGAGUCUGUCUUCUGUGGCCGAGGCCGAGUCCGAGCCCCUGGGUCGGGCGAGGCGGAGGUUGUUCGGCAGAGGCCAGGGCGGAGUCCGAGCCCUGGGGUCGGGCGGAGCGGAGUUCGUCGUCUUCUGGGGCUGAGCCCGAGUCCGAGCCCUGGGGUCGGGCGGAGCGGAGUUCGUCGUCUUCUGGGGCUGAGCCCGAGUCCGAGCCCUGGGGUCGGGCGGAGCGGAGUUCGCUGUCUUCCGGGACUUAGCCCGAGUCUGAGCCCUGGGGUCGGGCGGAGCGGAGUUCGCCGUCUUCCGGGACUUAGCCCGAGUCCGAGCCCUGGGUCGGGCGGAGCGGAGUUCGCCGUCUUCCGGGACUUAGCCCGAGUCCGAGCCCUGGGUCGGGCGGAGCGGAGUUCACCGUCUUCCGGGACUUAGCCCGAGUCCGAGCCCUGGGGUCGGGCGGAGCUUCCUAUGGUGCCUUUGGCAGGGCCUGACUGCCCGUCAGUCUCACUCUGUCGAGUGGCACUGCAGUUGGAGUGGCGCAGGCGGCGCUGUCCUUCUGCCAGGCCGGUCAGUGGAGCGGCGAAGUGACGGCGGUCACUUCGGCUCUGCCGGGGGGCGUGUGUCAGGAUAAAGGUGUCAGGCCACCUUUGCGUUAAAUGCUCCUGCGAUUCGGUCGGUCGAUGCGGCGAUUUAGUCAGGGUUGCUUCUUAGCGAAGGAAGGGCCUCGGGCGAGCCGGAGAUGUGUCCGCCGUUGGAGGGGGGCCUCGGGCGAGACGGAAAUCCUCUGGGGUCGGCUGCCCUUGUCCGAGGCUAGGCUCGGGCGAGGCAUGAUCGAGUCGCUCGAAUGGACUGAUCCCUGACUUAAUCGCACCCAUCAGGCCUUUGCAGCUUUAUGCUGAUGGGGGUUACCAGCUGAGAAUUAGGCGUCUUGAGGGUACCCCUAAUUAUGGUCCCCGACAGUAGCCCCCGAGCCUCGAAGGGAGUGUUAGCACUCGCUUGGAGGCUUUCGUCGCACUUUUUUGCAAGGGGACCAGCCUUUCUCGGUUGCAUUUUGUUCCGGUGGGUGCGCGCGAGCGCACCCGCCGGGUGUAGCCCCCGAGGCCUCGGAGGAGUGGUUUCACUCCUCCGAGGUCUUAAUGCCUUGCGUAAUGCUUCGGCUGGUCUGGUUGUUCCCUCAUGCGAACUGGCCGUAGCCCGGGUGCACGGUCGGGACCCAAGUUCUCGGGCUGGUAUGUUGACGCUGUCAACGGUUCGGCCGGAGCCGGGUUUGCGAGAGCAGCCCCCGAGCCUCCGCACAGGGCGAGAGGACGAUCAGGGACAGACUCGGCUUUUUUACAUACGCCCCUGCAUCGCCUUUCCGCAAGGAGGAGGGGGGAAAGCGCCAUGUUACCCUCGAUGGGCGCCGAACAUGGUGUCUCCGGUGAGCUGCAAGCGGGUAAUCCGAGUGGACGUCCGUGCCCCGUUCGUUAGGGGUCGGCUAGGGGCCCAGAGGCACGCCCAAAAGUACCUACGGGUGAUCUGCCGGACCCGGUCCCCUGGCGACGGGGUCCGAUGGCUCGAUGCCUCCCUCUGAUGGGAUUCCGUUACAAGAUCGCUCCCGCUGGUCUCGGAAAUGUCCUAGGGUACCUUGGGAGCGCAGCCCGAGCCUUGAUUAUGUAUCGAACGUACCCCUGGUCAUCCCUCGCUCGGCGUCUGAGGCGACUAUGAACCCUUCGGGGGCCAGCCUUCGAACCCCUGAUCAGUAAUGGGUGCGGAGCCCGAGUAGCCUGAGGCGGCCGUGGAACUAACCCUUCGGGGGGCUGGCCUUCGAACCUCUGACCAGUAGUGGGUGUAGGGCCCACGCGAUCUGAGGCGGCUGUUGAACCCCUCGGGGGGCCAGCCUUCGAACCUCUGAUCAGUAGGGGGGCUCGGAGCCCGGUUCCUUCACGGGGAAGGAUCCUUUUCGGGGUAUCCCCCUUUCCCGGUCCCUGUUGCAAGAGAUAGAGAAAGAGGAAAAAAGGAAAAGGAUACGAAAUCGAACGAUGUGGCGUACCUUUUUUGGCGCGGUUAUUACGGCGAAGGCGAAGCGUUGCCCGCUUCUCCUGCCAGAAGCGCCGCCUGUCCCGCCGCGGAGUUAAUGCGACAGGGCGAGUGGUUGGCGGGGCGGUCGUCGCGCGUGCGCGAGCCGUUCGAGGAACGGAUCACGGGCGCGUUGUCUUCACGUCGUGAGAGGGGGUUCUCUUGCUGCCCCUGGAUGGGACGUGAGCUUGGCUGACGACGUGACCGCUGCUCCCGCCCGCCUGCCACCGUCAUUACUGCCGGCCCACUUUCGGCCACAUUGACCGUCGCGCCAGGCUGGCGCUGCUGGGUCGUGCGCUGGGUCGCCUCGAGUCGCGGUAUUGGUUCCGCAACCGAAGAGGCGCGGUGGUGGCGCAAGUGGCGGUGCAGUUGCUUGCAUGCAGCAUCCGGCGCGCCGGUUGCGUGACGCGUGGGCCUGGGCCUCCAGGCUGGGCGCGUUGGGAGUCGCAGAAGCGCGCCCACUUGGCGCGGUUGCAUGCCGCCUGCAUGGCUGCCCGCCUCUCUCGCCCGUUGGUCUGGGCAAAAGUGGAGGGUCACUUGUAACCGCUGGGCGGUUGAGUGCACCGCGCGCGGCGGUUUGGCUUCUUCUGCUCCGAGCCGGUUUGCAUGACAUGCGGGACCCAGCCCCCGCGCCGCAGGGGAGGGCCUUGGAGCGUGUUGGAGAAGACUCAGUCCGUGACGAUUGGGGGCGCAAGUAGGGAGAGUUGCCUUUAAAAGGAGGGCGACCCCUUUCGGAAGGCGAGCAUGUCUUCUCGCUUCCUUAUGCAUCGCGUCUCUCCACCUUCCAAGCCCCCGGAUGGGGGAUAACCGCCGUCUUUUCGCCUCAUCGUUGGAGGAACACAACUCCGUGGGAGUUGGUACCUUUCAGCCAUCGUUCGGCUUCAAGGAUUUUCAUCGGCCAGCCCGGCUAUACCCCCCCGCCGGCGGUCACCCAAGACGGUGACCACCAGUUCCUGGGUGGGGAGAAGCAAGCCGGGCUGCGAUCUUGGUCCCACCCUCAGCUUCAAGGAUGUUCAUCAUCCUCGCUGGGGUGGGGGCCGGGCUGAGCCGGCGCUCUACCUCCCGCGCGGGUUCGUGGGUCACCCUCUCCCGCGGCGUUCGAGGGAGAGGGCGCUCACUGGCCCUGCGGGUGGCCCGGACUUCGACAACGCGGGGCUGGUCGACGGCGGGCGUCGUCACCUCCAGCGUGUCGGGCUCGUCGGCUUGGCUCCCGGCGGCCCCUCCUGCCGGAGGGCGGCUCCCGCGCCGUGUGCACGGGAGGACCACCCAAGAUGCCGCGCGCUGCUAGGGCGGCGUUCGUGUUCUGGGGUGGCCCUGCCUUUGCACCGGGAUGGCACCUUCACGCAGAGGCCGAUGCCCCACUCGUCCGGGAGGAUUUGAGUGGGGAUCUGCCGGAGGGCUGAUGGCCCCUGCCAUCGGUGCCGAGGUGACGGCGGUUCGAGAAGUCCCCGUCGCCGACGGGAUCACCGCCACCAUCCGCGCUUCGGGCCUCCAGCUCUUUGUACUUGUCCUCGCCCCUCGAGCGUCGGCGUGGGCGAGGGCAAGAUUGCAGCAGCGCCCACCCUGAGGCCUGCGCUGCUGCAGUUCGACCACCCGGAGCGGGGGUCGUUGUCGUCGUAGUCAGAGCGGGCGGCAGCGAGCCGCUCGUCAGUCUUCUGUUGCUCCGCAGGCCCUCUCCCAUGGAGUGGGGUUGUUCGUACCUGCGGAGGGGGAACCGGAGUUCCGUUUGUAAUGGCACUUCGAAUGCCAGUGUUUUUGUUCAUUAUGGCUGUCGAGGCCUGAACAUGUAUGUAAUUUUGGCACGGAGCCGUGUUUUUUCCUCAUUCUCGAGCACUAAGACUCGCCUGUUGAUUAUCUGAACCGCUUCACCAAGCAUGAGUCGCCCCGUGUCAAGGUGACGAGUGAGGUAUCCGUAUCCCGGAGGCGUAGGAGUCCCUCGGCUCGGUCGGCCUUGCUGUCUGAGGCUCCUCUAGCUUAGUUAAAGGGACCCCUUGGCCGCUCUUCGACGAGCCGAGGCCAGGGGUAGCGAUAUCAGCGUGAACAGAGGCGGAGUUGGCUCGAAAAUGAAACCUGGUCGGCCGGAGCCUAGCCGGGUUGUCCGUUAGUGGGGCCGACGUCGGAGUUGAUCAGCCGAGGCCUCGGGUCGGGCUGGCGCCCUUGGAAGAUGGUCGGCCGAGGCCUCAGAGGUGACCGGCCGAGCCACCUGCUCGGGCCGGAUUCCCGGAGAAGACCCUGGCGGCGAUGGCCCGGGCGUGGUGAUGACGUCGUCCUUCGGAGUGGAGGUCUUCGGACCGCGUCGCCGUCCGAGGCUAGGUCGAACCUCGCCGAAGUUGUCGUCGAUGCCGAGGGUGCUGCUGCCCCCUUCCAGCGUCAAGACCCGAGCCUGCAGGAUCAGAUAGUCUUGUAGCGUGUGCCUUCUGCGGCCGCCGAGGCCAGAACACACACCCUUGCUGCGUUGUAAAGUUGCGUCUCUUUUCCUCUUGUUUCGAGUAUCUGGACUUUUUUGUCGGUAACAGGGAUGUUUGUGCGAGCGAGAGUUGCUUCUCGCGGAAGGUGAUGAGUGAGGUAUCCGUAUCCCGGAGGCGUGGGAGUCCCUCGGCUCGGUCGACCUUGCCGCUUACGCGUACUUUCACCCGUCCAUGAGGCCCUGUCACCGACUCAGUCGAGAAGGCUCGAAGGAUCGCUUCGGCAGAAGAGCUUCCGAAUGUGAAGACUUGUUCGGUCCGCGGAAUCACUUUAUCCGAAUGCGAGUUACUUAUCGCAGAAGGUGAUGAGUGAGGUAUCCGUAUCCCGGAGGCGUAGGAGUCCCUCGGCUCGGUCAGCCUUGGCUGCUUACGUGUACUCCGUCGUUUUCAGGAUCCACUUUUCGAAGUAGUCAGAAAGCAUGAAAGACAUUCUGGCGGAAGAGAUCUUUUUUCGAGGAAAAUUUCAACGCAGAGGGGGUUCCCCCCCUUUUAGCCCCCGAGGGAGGGUCGGGCUUUGCCGAGGCGAGGCCGACCCUUCCUGGAUGACUAAACUUUGCGUGGGUGCGAGGUAUAUGAACAAUUUGAAAAUAUCUUAAGGGUAGAAGCGACGUAGCUGUUGGAUGUUCCAAGCGUUGCUGUAGACCUCGCCUUGACUGUUGGCCAGCUUGUACGUUCCGGGCUUCAGAACUUUGGCGAUGACGAAUGGCCCCUCCCAGGGGGGCGUGAGCUUGUGCCUCCCUCGGUCGUCUUGCCGCAGCCGAAGCACCAGGUCGCCCACCUGGAGGUCUCGGGGCCGGACCCCUCGGGCGUGGUAGCGUCGCAGGGACUGCUGGUACCGCGCCGAGUGUAGUAAGGCCUUGUCCUGAGCCUCUUCCAGCUGGUCCAGCGAGUCUUCUCGACUAACUUGGUUGCUUUGAUCGCUGUAGGCCCUCGUCCUCGGGGAGCCGUAUUCCAGGUCAGUGGGCAAGACGGCCUCGGCCCCAUAGACCAGGAAGAACGGCGUGAAACCCGUGGCUCGGCUCGGCGUUGUCCUCAGGCUCCAGACCACCGAGGGGAGUUCCUUCAUCCAUCGCUUGCCGAACUUGUCGAGGUCGUUGUAAAUCCGAGGCUUGAGCCCUUGUAGAAUCAUGCCGUUGGCACGCUCUACUUGCCCGUUCAUCAUGGGAUGAGCCACGGCGGCCCAGUCCACCCGGAUGUGGUGAUCUUUGCAGAAGUCCAAGAACUUUCUGCCGGUGAACUGGGUACCGUUGUCGGUGAUGAUGGAGUUCGGGACCCCGAAGCGAUGGAUGAUGUUGGUGAAGAACGUCACCGCCUGCUCGGACCUGAUGCUGUUCAGAGGUCGGACCUCGACCCACUUGGAGAAUUUGUCGAUGGCGACCAGCAGGUGCGUGUAGCCCCGGGCGCCUUCUGCAAGGGGCCGACGAGGUCCAGACCCCACACAGCAAAGAGCCAGGUGAUGGGUAUCGUCUGUAGAGCCUGAGCGGGCAGAUGGGUCUGCUUCGUAUAGAAUUGACACCCUUCGCAGGUGCGGACAAUUCUAGUGGCGUCAGCCACCGCCGUUGGCCAGUAGAAGCCUUGCCGGAAAGCAUUCCCGACAAGGGCUCGAGGCGCUGCGUGAUGGCCGCAAGCCCCCGAGUGUAUCUCUUGCAGGAGUUCCUGACCUUCGGCGAUGGAGAUGCAUCGCUGGAGGAUGCCCGAGGGGCUGCGGUGGUAGAGCUCCUUCUCAUCGCCCAGCAAGACGAACGACUUGGCGCGUCGCGCUACUCGCCGAGCCUCGGCUCGGUCGAGGGGUAGCUCUCCUUGGCGGAGAUAUUGCAGGUACGGGGUCUGCCAAUUCCGAUCAGGCGUGGCCCCGCUCCGCUCCUCCUCGACGUGCAGUGCCUCGCCCUUGGAGGCCGAGGGUACCUCGGGCUGAACCGAGGGUGCCUCGGGCCGUGCCGAGGGUACCUCGGGCUGGACCGAGGGCGCCUCAGGCUCGGGCGAGUCGUCGAUCUUGACGGAGGGUUGAUGCAGAUCCCGGGAGAAGACGUCCGGGGGAACCGUCGUUCGCCCCGAGGCUAUUUUUGCCAGCUCGUCCGCCGUCUCGUUGUAACGCCGAGCGAUGUGGUUAAGCUCGAGCCCGUAGAACUUAUCUUCCAGGCGCCGAACCUCAUCGCAGUAGGCCUCCAUCUUCGGGUCGCGGCAGUGGGAGUUCUUCAUGACUUGGUCGAUGACAAGCCGCGAGUCGCCGCGGGUGUCGAGGCGCCUGACCCCUAGCUCGAUGGCGAUCCGCAACCCGUUGACCAGAGCCUCGUACUCAGCCACAUUGUUGGACGCCGGGAAAUGGAGGCGUAGCACAUAGCGUAGGUGUUUCCCGAGGGGCGAGAUGAAGAGUAGGCCCGCGCCGGCUCCCGUCUUCAUCAGCGAUCCGUUGAAAAACAUGGUCCAGAGCUCCGGUUGGAUCGGAGCCGUCGGUAGCUGGGUGUCGACCCAUUCGGCUACGAAGUCCGCCAAUACCUGGGACUUGAUGGCCUUCCGAGGGGCGAACGAGAUUGUCUCGCCCAUGAUUUCCACCGCCCACUUUGCAAUCCUGCCCGAGGCCUCUCGGCACUGGAUGAUCUCCCCCAGGGGGAAGGAUGACACCACAGUUACCGGAUGAGACUCGAAGUAGUGUCGCAACUUCCGCCUCGUCAGGAUCACUGCAUACAACAGCUUCUGGACUUGUGGGUAGCGGAUCUUGGUCUCGGACAGCACCUCGCUGACGAAGUAAACUGGCCUCUGAACGGGCAAUGCAUGCCCCUCUUCUUGCCUCUCGACCACAAUCACGGCGCUAACCACCUGAGUGGUCGCGGCGACGUAGACCAAGAGGGCUUCUCCGUCAGUUGGAGGCACCAAGAUAGGCGCCUUUGUGAGGAGCGCCUUCAGGUUCCCGAGAGCUUCCUCGGCCUCAGGGGUCCAAGCGAAGCACUCGCCUUCCUUAAGAGGCGGUACAGAGGCAGGCCUCUUUCGCCGAGGCGUGAGAUGAAGCGGCUCAGGGCCGCGAGACAUCCCAUGACCCUCUGUACGCCUUUUAAGUCCUUGAUGGGCCCCAUGCUGGUGAUGGCUGCGAUCUUCUCCGGGUUGGCUUCGAUGCCCCGCUCGGAGACGAUGAACCCCAAGAGCAUGCCCUGGGGCACCCCGAAGACACACUUCUCGGGAUUGAGCUUGACGCCUUUCGCUUUGAGACAUCGGAAUGUCACUUCAAGGUCGGAGAGGAGGUCGGAAGCCUUCCUCGUCUUGACUACGAUGUCAUCGACGUAGGCCUCGACCGUGCGACCGAUGUGUUCGCCGAACACAUGGUUCAUGCACCGCUGAUACGUCGCGCCCGCAUUCCUCAAACCGAACGGCAUGGUGACGUAGCAGUACAUGCCGAAGGGCGUGAUGAAAGAAGUCGCGAGCUGGUCGGACUCUUUCAUCCUGAUUUGGUGAUACCCUGAGUAGGCGUCGAGGAAAGACAGGGUUUCGCACCCAGCAGUGGAAUCCAUGAUUUGAUCGAUGCGAGGCAGAGGGUAGGGAACCUUCGGACAUGCUUUGUUGAGACCAGUGUAGUCUACACACAUCCGCCAUUUCCCCCCUUUCUUUCUCACAAGCACAGGGUUGGCAAGCCAUUCGGGAUGGAAUACCUCUUUGAUGAACCCUGUUUCCAUCAGCUUGUGGAUCUCCUCGCCUAUCACUCUGCGCUUCUCCUCGUCGAAUCGGCGCAGAGGCUGCUUGACGGGUCGGGCUCCGGCCCGAAUAUCCAGCGAGUGCUCGGCGACAUCCCUCGGUAUGCCGGGCAUGUCUGAGGGACUCCGUGCAAAGACGUCGGCGUUUGCGCGGAGAAAGUCGACGAGCACUGCUUCCUAUUUGGGGUCGAGCCCGGAACCGAUCCGGAUCUGCUUGGAGGUGUCGCCACUGGGGUCGAGAGGGACGGCCUUGACCGUCUCCACUGGCUCGAAGUUGCCAGCAUGGCGCUUCACGUCGGGUACCUCUUUUGAGAGGCUUUCCAGGUCGGCGAUGAGGGCCUCGGACUCGGCGAGGGCCUCGGCGUACUCCACGCACUCCACGUCGCAUUCGAACGCAUGUUUGUACGUGGGGCCGACGGUGAUGACCCCGUAGGGGCCCGGCAUCUUGAGCUUCAGGUAGGUGUAGUUGGGGACGGCCAUGAACUUCGCGUAGCUUGGCCUCCCCAGUACCGCGUGGUAGGUUCCUCGGAACCCGACCACCUCGAACGUCAGAGUCUCCCUUCGGAAGUUGGAGGGCGUUCCGAAGCAGACGGGGAGGUCGAGUCGUCCGAGGGGCUGGACGCGCUUCCCGGGAAUGAUCCCGUGGAAGGGCGCAGCGCCUGCUCGGAUGGAGGAUAGAUCGACGCGCAGGAGCCCGAGGGUCUCGGCGUAGAUGAUGUUGAGGCAGCUGCCCCCGUCCACAAGGACCUUGGUGAGCCUGACGUCGCCGACAAUGGGGUCGACGACGAGCGGGUAUUUCCCCGGGCUCGGCACGUGGUCGAGGUGGUCAGCUUGGUCGAAGGUGAUGGGCUUGUCGGACCAGUCUAGGUAGACUGGCGCCGCCACCUUCACCGAGUAGACCUCCCGGCGCUCUUGCUUGCGAUGCCGAGCCGAGGCAUUCGCCGCAUGCCCACCGUAGAUCAUGAAGCAGUCGCGGACCUCAGGGAAUUCUCCUGCUUGGUGAUCUUCCUUCUUGUCGUCGUCGCGGGCCCUGCCACCCUCCGCGGGUGGCCCGGCCCUGUGGAAGUGGCGCCGAAGCAUGACGCACUCCUCAAGGGUGUGCUUGACGGGCCCCUGAUGAUAGGGGCACGGCUCCUUGAGCAUCUUGUCGAAGAGGUUGGCACCUCCGGGGGGCUUCCGAGGGUUCUUGUACUCGGCGGCGGCGACAAGGUCCGCGUCGGCGGCGUCGCGUUUCGCUUGCGACUUCUUCUUGCCUUUCUUCUUGGCGCCGCGCGGAGUAGACGCCUCGGGAGCAUCUUCCGAUGGGUGGCCCUGGGGCUGCUUGUCCUUUCGGAAGAUAGCCUCGACCGCCUCGUGGCCAGAGGCGAACUUGGUGGCGAUGUCCAUCAGCUCGCUCGCCCUGGUGGGGGUCUUACGACCCAACUUACUCACCAGGUCGCGGCAGGUGGUGCCGGCAAGGAACGCGCCGAUGACAUCCGAGUCGGUGAUGUUGGGCAGCUCGGUGCGCUGCUUCGAGAAUCGCCGGAUGUAGUCCCGGAGAGACUCUCCCGGCUGAUGCCGGCAGCUUCGGAGGUCCCAGGAAUUCCCGGGGCGCACGUACGUGCCCUGGAAAAUGCCGGCGAAGGCUUGGACCAGGUCAUCCCAGUUGGAGAUCUGCCCCGGAGGCAGGUGCUCCAACCAGGCGCGAGCGGUGUCGGAGAGGAACAGGGGGAGGUUGCGGAUGAUGAGGUUGUCGUCGUCCGUUCCACCCAGUUGGCAGGCCAGGCGGUAGUCCGCGAGCCACAGUUCCGGUCUCGUUUCCCCCCGAGUACUUUGUGAUAGUAGUCGGGGGUCGGAACCGGGUCGGGAACGGCGCCCGUCGGAUGGCCCGGCUGAAGGCCUGCGGACCGGGUGGUUCGGGCGAGGGACUCCGAUCCUCCCCGCUGUCGUAGCGUCCCCCACGCCUGGGGUGGUAACCUCGGCGCACCCUCUCGUCGAGGUGGGCCCGACGGUCGUGAUGACGGUGCUCGUUGCCGAGGUUACCCGGGGCUGCAGGCGCGGUGUUGCGCGUGCGCCCGGUGUAGACCGAGGCUUCCCGCAUGAAUCGGGAAGUCGCGGCAUGAGGUCCCGAGGGGUAUCCCUGCCUUCGGGAGGCAGAGCUCUCGGCCCGUCGGACCGCAGCACCUUCCAGGAGAUUCUUGAGCUCUCCCUGGAUUCGCCGACCCUCGGUGGUUGAUGGCUCCGGCAUCGCGCGGAGAAGCAUCGCUGCUGCAGCCAGGUUCUGACCGACCCCACUGGAUGCAGGUGGCGGCCUCACCCUGACGUCGUUGGCGACGCGGUGCUGGAGACCCUGGGGCAGGUGACGUAUUUCUCCGGCCGGGGGUUGGCCCGCCCACGCCAGCCCGACGUCCCGGUGGAUCGGCUCAAGCGCUCCUGCUCCCUCGUCGAGCCUGGCCUGCGCCCCGCGGACUUGCUCGAGCUGUGGGUCGUGACCCCCCGCCGGAACGGGGACCACAGCUAGCUCCCGCGGGAUGUCAGCGCGAGGCACCGGCCUAGGGAGAUCACCGUCCUCCGGCAUGCCGAGAUGGUUGCCUUCGGAGGGAUCCCCUAGCUCGACGUGGAAACAUUCGCGGCUUGGGCCGCAGUCCUCGUCGUCGAGGCUGUGGCUACCGUCGGCGUCGGAACAGUCAGAGAGGCAGUAGUCACAUGCGGUCAUGAAGUCCCGCAUGGCACUUGGGUUGCCAAAUCCAGAGAAAUCCCAACAGAUGUUGGGGUCGUCAUCUUCCUCGGACCCAGAGGGCCCAUAGGUCGAGACGUCCGUCAGCCGGUCCCAAGGCGACCGCAUGCGAAACCCCAGAGGGUUUGAUCUCGCCUCUACAAGAGCGCCCGCCAAAGCAAGGUCGCUAGGCGGGUUGAGGCUGAGUCGAAAUGACGUAGGAUGGGAAUCGGUUGGUACCUUUUGGUCGACGAGCGACGACAUAGUCACGUCGGGGACUGAUCGCACCGCCGUCUCAGGUACGAGGGCGACGUCCUGCAAGCUCUCCGCGAGCGCACUGGCGUCGUCCGUUUGCUCGGGAUUGGCGUGUCGCGGGGAGAUGGUGCUCGCCUUCGUCUCAAACGCGAGGUCGACGCCCGGCGCGCCCCCCGUUGGAGCGCUGGGGACGUCGACUCGCUCGACAGCCAACGAGGCGCAGCCUCCCGCUUGGCCUUGGUUGCCCCGCCUCCUCCUCCGUCGGCGGGGGAGAGGACGGUGCGAGCUCGAAUGUUGUUCUUCCACUACGUGGGGAAGACGUCGUCGAUCCCGCCGCCGGCGGGCGGGCUGUCGGCCGCCAUUGUCGUUGUCGCGCGGCAGUGGAAGGAGUAUCAUGUCGUAGCUGCCGUCGAAGGACAUGAACUCAAGACUCCCAAAACGGAGCACCGUUCCGGGUUGGAGAGGUUGCUGGAGCCUGCCCAUCUGGAGCUUGACGAGAAGUUGUUCGUCAACACGCAGCAGGCCCCUACCUGGCACGCCAACUGUCGGCGUUUCGAGACCGAGGGGUCCCUAAGCCGACGAGUGAAUGUCACUGCGUGCCCCAGCCCAGAUGGGUUGAGCGCGUGGGCGAGCGCGAAGGGGGGAAGCGAGGUGGCCGGAGAUGGGCAUGAGAGAGGUGGAAAUCCCGCGGCCUUCGUGUUCGUCCCGCGCCCAGGUCGGGUGCGCUUGCAGUAGGGGGUUACAAGCGUCCACGCGGGUGAGGGAAGCGAGCGACCCCAAGAGAGCGCCUGUCCCGUCCUCGUCCCUGCGCGGCCAACCCUCUCUAAGAGGGCCCUGGUCCUUCCUUUUAUAGGCGUAAGGAGAGGAGCCAGGUGUACAAUGGGGGUGUAGCAGAGUGCUACGUGUCUAGCGGGGGAGAGCUAGCGCCCUAAGUACAUGCCGAUGUGGCAGCCAGAGAGAUCUUGGCACCCAGCUGGUGUGAUGUCAUGGCCGUCGGAGGAGCGACGGAGCCUGGCGGAGGGACAGCUGUCGAAGCGGUUGAGUCCUUGCUGACGUCCUCCUUCUUCCGUAAGAGAGCUGAGAGCCGCCGUCGUCACAGAGCAUGCGGGGCACCAUCAUUGCCUAUCUGGCGGAGCUAGCCAGAUGGGACGCCGGUCUUGUUCUCUGCGGCCCGAGUCAGCUCGGGGUAGGGUGAUGAUGGCGCUUCCUGUUGACGUGGCUGGCCUGCGCCCUAGGUUGGGCGACGUGGAGGCUCCUCCGAAGCCGAGGUCGAGUCUGUCUUCCGUGGCCGAGGCCGAGUCCGAGCCCCUGGGUCGGGCGAGGCGGAGGUCGUUCGACAGAGGCCAGGGCAGAGUCCGAGCCCUGGGGUCGGGCGAAGCGGAGUUCGUCGUCUUCUGGGGCUGAGCCCGAGUCCGAGCCCUGGGGUCGGGCGAAGCGGAGUUCGUCGUCUUCUGGGGCUGAGCCCGAGUCCGAGCCCUGGGGUCGGGCGGAGCGGAGUUCGCCGUCUUCCGGGACUUAGCCCGAGUCCGAGCCCUGGGGUCGGGCGGAGCGGAGUUCGCCGUCUUCCGGGACUUAGCCCGAGUCCGAGCCCUGGGGUCGGGCGGAGCGGAGUUCGCCGUCUUCCGGGACUUAGCCCGAGUCCGAGCCCUGGGUCGGGCGGAGCGGAGUUCGCCGUCUUCCGGGACUUAGCCCGAGUCCGAGCCCUGGGUCGGGCGGAGCGGAGUUCGCCGUCUUCCGGGACUUAGCCCGAGUCCGAGCCCUGGGGUCGGGCGGAGCUUCCUAUGGUGCCUUUGGCAGGGCCUGACUGCCCGUUAGUCUCACUCUGUCGAGUGGCACUGCAGUCGUAGUGGCGCAGGCGGCGCUGUCCUUCUGCCAGGCCGGUCAGUGGAGCGGCGAAGUGACGGCGGUCACUUCGGCUCUGCCGGGGGGCGUGUGUCAGGAUAAAGGUGUCAGGCCACCUUUGCGUUAAAUGCUCCUGCGAUUCGGUCGGUCGGUGCGGCGAUUUAGUCAGGGUUGCUUCUUAGCGAAGGCAGGGCCUCGGGCGAGCCGGAGAUGUGUCCGCCGUUGGAGGGGGGCCUCGGGCGAGACGGAAAUCCUUCGGGGUCGGCUGCCCUUGUCCGAGGCUAGGCUCGGGCGAGGCAUGAUCGAGUCGCUCGAAUGGACUGAUCCCUGACUUAAUCGCACCCAUCAGGCCUUUGCAGCUUUAUGCUGAUGGGAGUUACCAGCUGAGAAUUAGGCGUCUUGAGGGUACCCCUAAUUAUGGUCCCCGACACUAUGGUUUUCAUAUUCACAAUAUUUAUAAUAUACAUUCUUUCUAGAACAUGAAUAAAUAUGUGUUUCAGUGGUUAGACGCUAAGCAUAGGAGGAAUGGUUCUAACCCUAGGUUCUACAUUUUUUGGAUUUUUUCAUGGGAGAACUUAACGCAUAAAGGGCGACAUCUUAAUUAAUGUUGGAAAUUGUACAAGUAAUGCAUGCAAACGGUGAAGACAGAAGUUUUAUCUCAUGAGUAGAAAGCUCAUGUUAUGUAGCACAAAUGAACACCUUAGCGUCGACCUUCAAAGAACGACCAACACACGUUAAGGAUGGCCCUACAUCUAGAAUCAGCAUGUACUAUCAUAUAUUUCAAUUAGUCAUAAAAAAUAUGUAUUCUAUUAAAAUGUAGCCAUGCAUGAUAAAGUUAGGAUUACGUAGGAGAUACAUGGACAACACAACAUUCAUGGAUCCUUUUAUAAAAAAUGAAGGCCUAUCAAAUAUUUCAUUAGGCACUUAUUAUAUAACUUGUCAAUCCAUUUCUUAACUCUUCUCUUUUAAACAACAGCGAAGUCUCACUCUAGCUAUAUAUGGAGAUGAAGAAGAUGGAGAAGGAGGAUGACACCAUCAUUGUUGGCGCCAGCAUCACUGUCGUAAUAGGGUAGUGGUAGCAAAUAGAUAUCACGGUCCAAUGCAUGCAUGUGUAAUGCAUUGCUUGGGAUCCAACCCAAUCUAGUAUAGCUAGCAUAGGUCGGCUUAAAGUAUUGUCAGCACUAAAGUUAAUUAUUUGGCGGUGUAGGCGGUGUUGGCCUUCCAGUUGGCAGGGAUGACAUCGUCGUAGACGGACUUGGUGCCUCCCUCGGUAGUGAGGCGGACGGUGAGGGGUCCCUUAAGCGGUUUGUCGCUGUCCUUCCUCCAGAUGGCGCCCCAGGAGUGCUUCAGAGGCUCGUACGUGUCGGAGCCCUUCUCCUUGACGUCCACUGCCACAAUGUCACCGUCGCCGUCGACGUACUUGACCAGCAGUGCCAGGUAGUUGGGGCCGCACCCCUUUUCAAGGUGGAAGGUGACCUUGGAGUCGUACUUGCACUUAACCCUUCGGAACUGCAUGUCGAUGAUGCCCGCCUUGCGCAGCUUCUCCUCCUCGCCCUUCUUGGCCAUGGCGCCGAACGCCGUGCCUGCUAAAUCGAAGUGGUACGCCGCGAUAGGCUCAUAGUUCAUGUCCGUGAUGUGCACCACCACGGGCUUGCCGGAGCACUCCACAGGCUUAUCGCACUUGAUCUCGAAGCAGGACCCACAACCCAGACCAUCCUUGAAGAUGGGGAUGUUGCCGCAUGCGCCCAUGCUAUUGAAGGGGGGCUUGUUCACGUCCUUGUACCCGCAGCCACCACCGUUGUCGUCGGGACCGGCACCCGUCGGCUUGCCAUACCAUGUCGCUUUAGCGUCCAGCCAGUCCUUGCCAUAGGUGGCCGUGAUGUUCUUGCCUGGGGGGACUUUGGGAGGACCGCACCAUGCGCCGCUCACCAAGAACACCAACACCACAGCCAUCGCAACCUGUGCCCGCAUCGACGACCACAUGGUUCUCACAUUCACAUCCAUGUUUUGUCUUGGGUUAGUGAAUGGUACUAUGCUACGAUGAAUGAGCGGGUAGGCCUGAAUUUAUGGUUGUGUGUGCCAACGGUUGGACGAUCGAGCUUGCAACCGUGAAGCGCGCGCAUGCAUGCACCAACGAGGAGGUAGAGUUUGCAUGGUCGAGCGAGCUUUUCUCUUGGCCACCAGUUUACUAAUUGGUUCCAUAAGUCGAAGGUGACCAUGCAUGGUAGCUCUGCAUGCAAAGCUGCUCGUAUCGUCGCGAUACUUAUGCCAUGGUGCUACUUUGGCUAAUGGUGAAGCGAGGACUCUCCUUCUUCUCACUUUGAAAGGGAAAUAACCUCAACAUUUCCUAUAAUCGAUUUUGGUGUUUGACGUCUAUCACAAAACCAUAUGGACUAAUUAGUUUGCCUAGUGGACAUUUUUCCCACGUGCAUAAAGUUCACAUAAACAUACAAAGAAAAGGACUUGAGUGAAUUCUAUAAAGUUUGGAGCACACAAGUUCUUGUGUUGCCAGUAGCGCACCGGACACUAUCCGGUACCCUGGCUGAGCACCUCGCGAACUGGUCACUCUCGGGUUUUCUCAGCGUUAGUCCGCUAAAAUUCAUCGGACUGUCCGGUGCACCACCGGACUGUCCGGUGCGACAACAGAGAAACGAUCAACUUCGCGCAACGGUCAACUUCGCUGACUACAGGGCAGUCUGCAGCGCAGAAGUCAGAAGUCAGUCUGCAAAGUCAGAACACACCAGACUGUCCGGUGUGCCAUCGGACUGUCCGGUGCCACAAGAAGACAGAAGACUUCAACGGUCAAUGGCUCCAAACCCCAACGGUCAGCUGAUGUGGCACUCACCAGACAGUGAACAGUGCAGUGUCCGUUGCACCACCGGACUGUCCGGUGUGCCCAUCGACAACAACAGUUGGAAUAGUGGCUGGGGCUAUAAAUACCCCGACCACCACCAUUCAAGCCAUCCAAGCAUUGCAACUUCCUCAUUCAAUACUAGAGCAAAAGAAUGCACUCCAAAGACACAAUCAAAGCAUCAAAUCCUCUUCAAGCUUCAAAAUCAAGUCAAGUGAUCAAAAGUGCUUAGUGACUUGAGAGAGGGUGAUUUGUGUUUGUUUUGUUGCUCUUGUUCCUUGGUUGCAUUCUUCUUCUCAUUCUAAACUUCUCAAGUGUUUUGUAAAGCAAGCAGGAGACACCUAAUUGUGUGGUGAUCCUUGCGGGGUCUUAGUGACCCGCGUGAUAAAGAAGAUGCACAUAACCGGUCUAAGUGAAAGUGCAUUCAUCCCUUUUGUGAGUUUUGGUGAUUUGGAUAACAACACAUUUAAAGGUCUAACGAGUUUGCUAAGUGUUGAACAGGAAAUUCAGUAUGAUGAACAUACUUGAAUAGUGUAUAAUGAUCAGUGAACAAAGGUUCAACACAAGGUUAUAUAACCAAUGAGACAAUGCAAAUGGAUAUAAUAUGAUCUCUAUAUUGGUUUGAAUAUAUGGACAAGACCUGAGAAAUCACUACAUACAUAUGACCAGAAUAGAGGACAAAGUGAUUUAGAGGAUUGGUCAAGCCAAAGAGAAUAAGAUAUGAGGAAUCGUGAAUUGGCUUGACCAUAUUACUGUCAGUCCAUAUAUGCUUCUAUGAGAAUCAAACUAGAGCUUGAUUGAUCUUGACAAUUAUAUCUAGAAGACAUUCAAGCAAGGUUCACAAUAUGGAAGAAAUGAUUCUCUCAAUGGAUGCUCAAUUUGAUGUGACUCAAGAAUGGCUUGAUAGGGUGAAGAUAGCAAGGAAAGGGCUUCGAGGAACUAAGCGAAGGUGAAGGUCAAGCGACGGCUUGUAGACCGAGGUACCAUGGCUAAGGUGAAGAAGAGAGUACUUGCACUAAGUCGAUGAACUAAUCAACUAUGAAGAGUUAUAACAUGUUGAUGCAUCAGUAAGGUGACUUGAAGCCAUGAUUUGAACUCAUAUAAGGUGAUAUGGUACAAGUCACUGGGUUUGAUUUGAGUUUGCUUCAAAAGGUGAGACAAAGAUGUUUGUGAUCCUUAUGAAGCAAUGCCAUGGAGAAAUCACACAUGAGACACCAAUGACUCAAGGAGUUUACUUCAUUAUAUUUUAUUUAACUUGAGUAUAGGAAUCGUCGUACUAUAAAGGGGGAUCCAAAAAGAAGGUUGGUGUUUGCCAAAGCUCAAACCUCUCUAUUCAAAAGCUAUUUUUGAAAAGCAAAAAUCUCUUUAACGUUCUAUGGUUGACCGUGGUUAGGGUUGAGAAACCUAGAGUGUUCUUGCUGAAAAGGAGCUGAACUUCUUCAAAUGCAGCUGAGCUUUCCAGCUGAACUUGACUUCAGCUGAGUUGAGCUUCUUCAGCUGCAGCUGAGCUUUUCAGCUGAGCUGAACUUCAGCUGAGUUGAGCUUUCUCAACUUCAGCUGAACUCAACUUCAGCUGUGAACCUCUUUGACCAUACACCAGCUGAACUUGCCUCCGGGCAGUUGAGCUGGGGUUUUCUCUCCUAAACUCACUGGUCAAGACCAGUUGAACUGGUCUUGAGGGGCAGUUCAGCUGGUCUCUGACCCCUCUGACCUCUGACCAACAGUCUGCAAGUCAGACUGGCAAACAGGUCGCCAGAGGUGUCAGGGGCGGUUCAACCGCCCUGGGGGGCGGUUCAACCGGUCUGGUCAACCCUGACCAGUCUGCAGGUCAGUCUGCGCGUUAGUCUGCCAGUCAGACUGGCAGACAGGCUGCCAGGCCUGCCAGGGGAGGUUCAACCGCCCUAGGGGGAGGUUCAACCGGUCUCAGGCAGAAAAAUCUGCCCAACGGCUAGUUUUGAGCUCCACCUAUAUAUACUACCUCCUACCUCUCUCCCCAAAGCAGUGAGCACGAUUUGAACUCCAUUUCUAACCCAAGAAACACCUCCCUCUCUCUCACACAUCUCUUGCCUCUCCCAUUUCAAAUCUUUGGAGAGAAAUCUUUGAGUGAGCUUGAGAGCUGCGGUUUUGUGCUUCAUCUCUAAAUCUCUCUUGCUCUUCUUCUUCAUUCGAGCUUUGGUACUACAUCGAGUUCUUUGUGGAUUCAUUACUCUUGGAGCUUCUAGCUCCUAGACGACUAGGUGUCUCUUGUGAGUCUCCAAAUCUUGUGGAAGACCACAAGAAAGUUUGUAUUACCCGCUCAUUUGAGCAAAGAUUAUUGUGUGGGCUUGACCUUUGUGGUCGGCAAAGGGAGGAUUAGGGUUGAAAGAGACCCGGCUCUUUGUGGGCGCCUCAACGAGGAAGUAGGGCACCUUUUGUGGUGUGACCGAACCUCGGGAUAAAUCUUGUGUAUCUUGUGUUCUUGCUCAUUGUGUUUGUUCAUGUUCUUCGUUCUCUCACCAUUGCGUGGAAGAUUUGUUUAUAUCUUUUGGGUGUGUGGAUUUUGAGAAGUGCCCUUCUCAGAUCUACUACUUUGAACCCUGUGGAUCAUUUAGAACAUCUCAUUUCCAAAGUUAACUGGGUGAAUUUCGAGAUCAAUUCAGUUUUACCCAGUUUGCUUCUAGUUUUCGUUGAAAAAGUUUUAACUUGCCUAUUCACCCCCCCUCUAGGCAACUUUCAAUUGGUAUCGGAGCAUAAUCCUCGUUCUAACGCUUAACUGCGUGAGGAAAGAUCAUGUCGGGGGGACUAAGAAACGAAAGUGCUUCUAAGCUUGAAAAAGUUGAGGUUGCCUCGACUUCAUCUUUUGGUGCAGAUGUUGAUCCUAGGGCAAUAGACCUUGCCAUGAGAAUCGCCGAAAGGAUGUUCCUCAAAAUGAAGGAAGAUGAGGCGAAGAACAUUAUUGAAGAAGAAGAAAAUGAUCGAUGGAGACCAAACGACGAAUCCACCUCUUCACAAGGUUCGUCUUUCAAAUCCACUUCUCAUAUGUGCUUUAUUGCUAAUGGGAGUGACAGUGAAAGCGAAAGUGAGGAUGAGGAGGAGCAAGAAAGUGAUAGUGAAGAUGAGGAUGAUCUUCAACAAUUCUUCGCUCAGCUAAGCAAGAAACAUCGGAUGAGCUUGCUUAAACUCAUGAAAAGAGCGGAAGAACAAAAAGAAAUGCUUCAUAAGCAAGAAGACUUCCUCAUCAGAAAAAUUGAAGACUUAGAGAAGUUGACCAAAGAGCAUGAGAAGCUAAAGUGCUCUCAUGAUGAUUUGGUCCAAAGGUAUGAAGACAUUUCAAUUGAGCAAAUUAAAGUUGUUAAUCAUUCAUCAUAUAUUGCUCAAUUAGAAAGUAAAAAUGCUAUGCUCAAGAACACAAUAGAAAAGCUAAAUAUUGAAAAUCUAGCUUUGCAAGAAAAACAUGAUAUGCUUGUGUGCUCUCAUAAUAAAUUGAUGGAUUCACAUAUCAUGUUAGAAAUGGCUCAUGAGGUUGUGUUAACUAAUUUGAAAUCAUACCAACCUCACACAUGCACAUGUACUCAAGUAGAAACUAUAUUAUCAUGUGCUAACAAAUGUUGCUCUCAAGAAAGCCAAUCUUCCAUUGAGCUAGAAAUUUCAAGAAUUAGUGAUAUUUCUAUCACACAAGAAAAUAAAGAGCUCAAGGAAGAAAAUGAGAGGCUAAAAAGGAGCUUGACUCAAUUGAAGGGAAAAUGUCAUGCUCAACCUUCUCAAGAUAACUGUGAUAAUAUGGUGAAAAAGCAUGAGAAGGGGACAACUGUGGCAUGCACAAAACCCCUUCAAAAGAAUACCAAGCUUUCCAAGAAGGGCAUGAGCAAAAUCCAUGGUGAGAAAAUUAAUGCUCAUAUGAUUUGCUCUAACAAUGUACCUAUGUGCUUCAACAAAGAAAGAUCAAAGAGAAGCGAUAGGAGGUGCUAUGGAUGCAAGGAGAAGGGCCAUGAAAUUGAUUCAUGCCCCCACAUGAAGAAUCAAGACCUUGCACGAUCAAGAAAGAUGACCAUCAAAAAGGAUGAAAGCAAAAGGCAAAUGCAUUGCAAGGACAAGCAUCGCAUUUGCUACAAUUGCCGUGAAAAAGGUCAUCUAUUCAAGGUUUGUCCAAAGGGUAAAACUCCUAAGCCUAACUUGUCAAUACAUUCAAAUAUGCUUAGGAGACCCAAAUUUGACUCUUGUGCUAGAAAGGUGAUGAGUUCACCACAUUCUAGGACCAAGGCUAUUUGGGUGCCUAAGUCCUUAUUGGCUAACCUUGAUGGACCUAUCAUGAGAUGGGUACCAAAAUGUACUUAAUAAGUUUUGCAGGUACCCAGAGAUGAUAUGAAGCUUUGGGGUGCUUGAGCGGUUCAACUCAAUUCUUAUCUCAAGCUAUCAAUCUUACAUUGUCUAUCCUUUAAGAUUGACCCAAAGAUGAAUUGAGUUGUUAUAUCACUAACUUCAUAUUCAUCUCUAGCAAGAACUUGUGUUGUAGGGAAUAAGGAUUAACCUUUGUGGGAAUCAAGCAAAAGGCCUACAACCAAGUGAUAUCCAAAGGAUGGUAACAAUUAAUUCUUAAGUGCACAUUGCUUUUAAUUGGUAUAUUCCUUUGUGUCUUUUGUAGCCACAUAGGAAAAAUGAAGCACUUGAGAAUGAACUUAAAAGAUUUUACCUUGCUUUGGAAAGGAUCUAAUUAUAUGGUAGAUUGCAAGUUCAUAUUUUUAUAUUGUGACAAUCUACAUGCUUUAAAUUGAUUGUAUGUAUCUUGUGGCAUAUUUCAAGUUAAUCAUCAUAUUAUUGCCAUGACCUAGACAUAAAGAAUAUUAUCCCAUGUUCUUAAAUGAAUAGAGUGCUAAGUAAGAAAUUCAAAUUCUUAUAGCACUUACCAAAUGGGGAAUUCUCUAUAUGACUAGAGUUGUGAGACUAAUGUUUCUAUCUAAGUGUUUAUGUAGUCUCACAACAUGAGAAUGUGUUUCCCAAAUGGAGUGUGCCAUUCAACAUUCAAAGAAGAUCCAACCAAUACUAUGUGAUGUAUUCAUUCUUGUUUAAAUUGGUUUUGAGUCUUCUCCAUUAAUCACUCACCAUGCUAUGAAUUAAACUUGCCAUGUAAACUUAAUUAAAUAAUCAUGCUACUUUCAUCUUUUUUACAAUUGAUGUUAUGCAUGAUGCUUGUAAGGGUAAUUUAGUUCAUAUCAUGAGGUUUCCUUGUUUUAGUAACCUUCUUGUCAUUCAUAUACUAGAGGUUGCUAAAUAGGAAACUAUUGCUUGUGUUUCAAAUGCAAUCUCUAUUAAUAUAUUUCAUGGAAAUUCAUAAGUAGAGAUUGUGCACUUUCAAUUGGUAAAAAUCACAAGCAUUGAAGGUUAAUCUUCACCUAAAAGAAAGGUUAGGAAUGCUCAAGGCAAAGGUAUUGCUUCAAUUGGUAGUUGAUCAAUUGUAGUUCCUUUCAAGUGGCAUUCUUUCAAUUGGUAAUAAUCUAUUCUAUGGAAAGAAAUGCCAAUAUAAAGGUUAAAUUCCUUUUGGCUUAAAUUUGUAAAUUGGUGCAUAUUGUUAAUUCACUCCUCCAUGUGCAUUAACUUAAAAGGAAUUUAAUUUAUGCCUUUAUGCCUCAUAAAUGAUGAUUUGUUUGCCAUUCAUAUAUAUAUAUAUAUAUCAUUCAUUAAAUACUUCCUUGUACUACUAAUACCUCUUUUCAAAGUGUUUUAUCGACUAGUUUUAAAAGGAAAAGAGAUAACAAAGAAGGAAGUCUCCACAAAUGAUGAAAAGAAGAAUACUAAGGAGACACCACCACAGAUAGUAAGAUCUGUCAAAUUGGUAUAACAAAUGGUACAUUCUAUAUGGUGGUAAGUAUUCUUAGGCAUAAGUUAAUUCAUUGUAAAUUUGUCAUGCCUUGACCAUGAUAUGUAAUAUACUCCUCAUGAGACUCUUAACUGAAUUGAAAGUGCAUGUGGCAAGUCAUUCAAAUACUUGAUGCACAUAUCUAGUGGGAGAACAUUAUAUAUCUUGUGUCAUAGAGAAUAAGUUUCACUUGAGUAAGCUAUACUAAGACAAUCCAAAAUGAUAAAUUUGUAUCUCAUUCAUAUGAAUUGUAAUCUUUGUUUUCUAAAUAGCUACUCUUGAUGCAGUUUAAAAUUCCCUUAUCGUUAAUUCUAAAAGUGCAUAAGAAUCCUUUUUGUUGAUAUUCAUCACAUACAUAUGCACUAACAUGGAUAUAAUUUUUAAACUGUAAAAGGUACAAUUAGUGAUCCAUACUCUCUAAAUUUUGGAAACCCAUAUUUUGAUAUCUUAGAAAUCUACUUCAAUCGAUAUCAUAUGCUUCACAUUGAAUUGGAUCACUAAGUUGUAAAUUCAAUACAUAACUUGUCUUUAUGAUAUGAAUGCUUGUGCAACUAACCUUGAUAAGCUAGGUGCACCCAAAGUCAAGGUAGGUUCAUCAUCAAGAAGGCAACACAAUGAUGUAUUAAUAAAAGGAGAAAAGGCUCCUAUUCUUAACUCUAGUUUUUAUCUAUGUAAUUAAAUAUUGACUUGAAACCAUGUAAGAUGGUUGUCAAGUAUAUGUGGGUGCCUACACAAAGAGAAAGGCCACAAUAAGGAUUGUGUGGGUUCUCAAGGCUCAUCUCAAAGGACCCAAUUCAUAUUGGGUACCAAGAUAUGAAGCUUAAACUUGUUUUGCAGGAUCACUCCUUCAAUGAAUCAAGUUGGGUGCUUGAUAAUAAAUGAAUGAAUCAUAUUUGGAGAUAGUAGCAAGGGUGGUAACAACUGAAUCUCAAGUGCAUAUUAUUUUCAAAUUAUCUUUUUUGUGACUUGUGUAGCCACUAAGAAAAAAGAAGCACUUGAGGAUAUACAUCAGUUGUUGAUUAUGAAAUAAAGGUCUAAUUGGAAGUUGAAUGAAUAUUAUCAUAUGGUGAACAAUCCAAAAAUAUGUGACGUAUUCUCUAUCUAGUUAAUUUGGAUUUGAUUCUUCUUUAUUAGACACUCACCAUAAUAUGGAUUAAGUCAGCCUUUUAGACUUCAUUGAAUAACCAUGCAUAUUAUCCAUGUCAUUCAAAAUAUAUUGUGCAUGUGGUUCAAGGCAAAUUUAGUCCAUAUUAUGAGGUUUCUCUAUUUUAGCAACUCGCUUGCCUUCCUCAUAUAAAGGGUUGCUAAAUAAGAAAUUAGUGCUUGUGCUACUAAUGCCAUCUCUUGUGUUGAGUUUAUCCAUAGAAAAUCUAUGUUAAGACAUGGUGCUUGUUUUAAAUUGGAUAAAUCACAAGCUUAAAGGAUACUAUUCAACUAAUGUAAGAAGAAGUUGAUAAGAGGCCAAGGUAUGAAAACUUCCUCACCUUCAGUUGUUUUAGUAUUCUAUCCUCAGUGGGAUGUACCAUAGUAUAGGUUAAAUUCCUUGCAAUAUAAAAUGUUCAAUAGUGCAUAUAACUUUGACAUCAACUAUAUGUGUGCACUAACUUAAAGGAAUUUAGUCUAUCCUUUUUGGGUUUCAAGAAUGAUGAUUCAUUUUCCAUCCACAUAUAAGGAUUAUCAUUUACCCUCCCUUGUGUUUCUAAUGCUCUCUUUUCUAAGUGUUUCAACAAGGCCUUCCCAAGUUCUUUGAAGAUGAAUUCAAAAUCUACAAAUAUAAGAGUCUUGGUUCUUUCAAUCAUUGAGUUUCAAUAGGUCUCAUAUCAAGUAUGAUCGAAUCAAGAAAAGAUGAAAGAAGUUCAAGAUCACUUGGUUGGAUGAAAUCGUAAAGAGAAAAGAGAUCACAGUGAUUCAAGAAGGGAGUUAUUAUUUUUUUGUUUUUUUGUCAACCAAAUAAUGAAGAUGUAGUGACAUAUUUAUAUGAUAUCCUUCAUUAUGAGGUUUGAGAUUUAUAUCAGCAUGCUUUACCCUUCAGGAUUUCAAUUGAUAUACUUUCAGUUCUUAAACUUUCAAUUGGUUCAUUUUCAUCAUCUAUGAAGGCAUGUUAUGUUCAACCAAGAUAUAGUGCAAACAUCUUCUUCAACCUCGUAUUGUUGAUGUGCAUAAAUAUACUUUGUGUACUCUUGCAAGCACAAAUUGAGGGAGAGUUUAGCCUAUAUCUUGUGAGACUAAUGAUUUCUUUCAAGUUCAUGUUGUGUAGUCUCACACCCUGGAGAACAUCAAACGAGGAUGAAUGGUUCCAUAGAAAUGAAAAUGAGUUUCUCUUGAUCGUUUAAAGAGGAUAAGUUUCUCUUUGAAAUGUCAAGCCUAUCAAAAGCUAAGAUAGAAAUUCAUGAUUAUAAUGAAGACCAUGUGGCGUUGAACAAAGGUGUGUCACUCCAUGAACUAUUGUAUUACAUUUGUGUAUCUAGGCUCUCACAUGCCAGUGUGCAUGUAUAUGUAAUAUCUUAAGUCACACCAUAAGGUUGCACUUGUGGUGACGAUUAAAGAAUCUCUAGAUAUUUGAUUAAUACCUCUUGUGGUGAUAUCAUAAGUUAGUCUUAAGUCGUCUUAGUGAGGUAUGAGUCAAACAUUCUAACUUCUCAAGAAUCUUGGCUUAAAAUAUUGCAUAUCAUGUCUAUUAGUAUACCUUUUGAUUAUGAGUAAUUCCUUCAAUUGGUGCAAUUUCAUAUUUUCAUACUUUAUUUAUACCAAGGUUCAAAUUGUAGAACUUAAUCCCCUGGCCUCAUAAGUCCAAGUGCAUAAGCUAAACAAGUAUUCAUCACUUGUAUGCACACAUUUAGGGGGAGAAUGGUUUAUAAUUUGAAUCUUUGAGACUAACUUCAUUUUCAAGUCUAUUAUGUGUGUAGUCUCAAAUUAGAAAGGAACCUUCGGGCAAAGACAAUCGCUUCCACUGCAAAUUUUUGAUGGGUAUCAAAGAUUCUUUGCUCCAAUAAAUGUAACUUCUAUACAUUUCAUAAGAGAAUGAGUUUCUCUUGUAUAUGCUACUCCAACGUCAUCUAAAAUUGGUAAAUAUGUAUCACAUCUUUUUGGAUUACAAAUAUCUGAAGUAGCAUAGCUUAUAGAUUCUCCUGUCUAGAACUUAAUUGAUUAAAUAGUGCACAUGUUCCUUAUGUUGCAUGAUUAUGUUCAGUUGAUACUCCUUUUAUGCUAAUGGUACUUUAAAUUUCAAAUAAGUACUCUCAACAUAUAUCAAUUGAAUUCAUAUAUAUAUAUAUGUGCACUAAAACUUGAGGAGAACUUAGUGUAAUAUGCUAUUAGUGAUCUAUUUAUCUAUCAAAUUGUAUCAAUUGGUGUUUUUCAAUUGAUAUUUUUCAUACAUGAUCACUAGUUGCAUAAUCCAUACUUGUGCAAUUUUUAUGUUGCCUCUUGUUGUGAUAAGAAAAUGCUAGGUGACAUCUAGACUCCAGGUAUCAAGAUUUAUCUUUCAGUUAGUAUGACAAUCUUCAUUUGAUAUCUUGGACCUAUGCCACAAUUAUGCCAACAAGAGCUUGCAAAUGAAUUCUAAGUCCAACACAAGUUUGGAACACCCCCUUAAAAAGGUAAAACGCAAAGGUACAUCACUUAUGACACUUAUCCAUUACCUUUGUGCCAUAUAAGGACCCCUUUCAUGAUAGUGUGUUCAUAUCUCUCUUAAUCAUAAUUUCUAUCCUUUAUAUUCUUUUUAUCCUUUUUUGGGAUUUAUGACAAAGGGGGAGAAAUUGUGCAUUAAAGCUUACCUUUAGUCUUAUGUAACUAAGUGUUAGAAGACUUUUAAAAAGGGGAGAAAUAAUUAACAAAAAGGGAAGUCAUAAGAAAAACAUAAGAUGAAGAAAGUUGAUAAGUGCAUUCCAUGUCAUGAGCAUCACGUUUAUUUUAUGACACACUGCACCCUAUGAAUAGUAUGAUAUAAGUUGUCUAUACUUUGACCUAAAUAUGUGCUUUUGGCAUUUGAGUACAAAAGUGUUAUUUUUCUGAAAUGCACAUAUUUAGGGGGAGGAAACUAUAUCAUAGGAUUUAAAAUCUUAUUUAUCAAAUCUUAUGUAAGCUUUAAAUGUGUUGUCAUCAAUCACCAAAAAGGGGGAGAUUGAAAGUGCAUUCAUCCCUUUUGUGAGUUUUGGUGAUUUGGAUAACAACACAUUUAAAGGUCUAACGAGUUUGCUAAGUGUUGAACAGGAAAUUCAGUAUGAUGAACAUACUUGAAUAGUGUAUAAUGAUCAGUGAACAAAGGUUCAACGCAAGGUUAUAUAACCAAUGAGACAAUGCAAAUGGAUAUAAUAUGAUCUCUAUAUUGGUUUGAAUAUAUGGACAAGACCUGAGAAAUCACUACAUACAUAUGACCAGAAUAGAGGACAAAGUGAUUUAGAGGAUUGGUCAAGCCAAAGAGAAUAAGAUAUGAGGAAUCGUGAAUUGGCUUGACCAUAUUACUGUCAGUCCAUAUAUGCUUCUAUGAGAAUCAAACUAGAGCUUGAUUGAUCUUGACAAUUAUAUCUAGAAGACAUUCAAGCAAGGUUCACAAUAUGGAAGAAAUGAUUCUCUCAAUGGAUGCUCAAUUUGAUGUGACUCAAGAAUGGCUUGAUAGGGUGAAGAUAGCAAGGAAAUGGCUUCGAGGAACUAAGCGAAGGUGAAGGUCAAGCGACGGCUUGUAGACCGAGGUACCAUGGCUAAGGUGAAGAAGAGAGUACUUGCACUAAGUCGAUGAACUAAUCAACUAUGAAGAGUUAUAACAUGUUGAUGCAUCAGUAAGGUGACUUGAAGCCAUGAUUUGAACUCAUAUAAGGUGAUAUGGUACAAGUCACUGGGUUUGAUUUGAGUUUGCUUCAAAAGGUGAGACAAAGAUGUUUGUGAUCCUUAUGAAACAAUGCCAUGGAGAAAUCACACAUGAGACACCAAUGACUCGAGGAGUUUACUUCAUUAUAUUUUAUUUAACUUGAGUAUAGGAAUCGUCGUACUAUAAAGGGGGAUCCAAAAAGAAGGUUGGUGUUUGCCAAAGCUCAAACCUCUCUAUUCAAAAGCUAUUUUUGAAAAGCAAAAAUCUCUUUAACGUUCUAUGGUUGACCGUGGUUAGGGUUGAGAAACCUAGAGUGUUCUUGCUGAAAAGCAGCUGAACUUCUUCAACUGCAGCUGAGCUUUCCAGCUGAACUUGACUUCAGCUGAGUUGAGCUUCUUCAGCUGCAGCUGAGCUUUUCAGCUGAGCUGAACUUCAGCUGAGUUGAGCUUUCUCAACUUCAGCUGAACUCAACUUCAGCUGUGAACCUCUUUGACCAUACACCAGCUGAACUUGCCUCCGGGCAGUUGAGCUGGGGUUUUCUCUCCUAAACUCACUGGUCAAGACCAGUUGAACUGGUCUUGAGGGGCAGUUCAGCUGGUCUCUAACCCCUCUGACCUCUGACCAAUAGUCUGCAAGUCAGACUGGCAAACAGGUCGCCAGAGGUGUCAGGGGCGGUUCAACCGCCCUGGGGGGCGGUUCAACCGGUCUGGUCAACCCUGACCAGUCUGCAGGUCAGUCUGCGCGUUAGUCUGCCAGUCAGACUGGCAGACAGGCUGCCAGGCCUGCCAGGGGAGGUUCAACCGCCCUAGGGGGAGGUUCAACCGGUCUCAGGCAGAAAAAUCUGCCCAACGGCUAGUUUUGAGCUCCACCUAUAUAUACUACCUCCUACCUCUCUCCCCAAAGCAGUGAGCACGAUUUGAACUCCAUUUCUAACCCAAGAAACACCUCCCUCUCUCUCUCUCACACAUCUCUUGCCUCUCCCAUUUCAAAUCUUUGGAGAGAAAUCUUUGAGUGAGCUUGAGAGCUGCGGUUUUGUGCUUCAUCUCUAAAUCUCUCUUGCUCUUCUUCUUCAUUCGAGCUUUGGUACUACAUCGAGUUCUUUGUGGAUUCAUUACUCUUGGAGCUUCUAGCUCCUAGACGACUAGGUGUCUCUUGUGAGUCUCCAAAUCUUGUGGAAGACCACAAGAAACUUUGUAUUACCCGCUCGUUUGAGCAAAGAUUAUUGUGUGGGCUUGACCUUUAUGGUCGGCAAAGGGAGGAUUAGGGUUGAAAGAGACCCGGCUCUUUGUGGGCGCCUCAACGAGGAAGUAGGGCACCUUUUGUGGUGUGACCGAACCUCGGGAUAAAUCUUGUGUAUCUUGUGUUCUUGCUCAUUGCGUUUGUUCAUGUUCUUCGUUCUCUCACCAUUGCGUGGAAGAUUUGUUUAUAUCUUUUUGGUGUGUGGAUUUUGAGAAGUGCCCUUCUCAGAUCUACUACUUUGAACCCUGUGGAUCAUUUAGAACAUCUCAUUUCCAAAGUUAACUGGGUGAAUUUCGAGAUCAAUUCAGUUUUACCCAGUUUGCUUCUAGUUUUCGUUGAAAAAGUUUUAACUUGCCUAUUCACCCCCCCUCUAGGCAACUUUCAAUUGGUAUCGGAGCAUAAUCCUCGUUCUAACGCUUAACUGCGUGAGGAAAGAUCAUGUCGGGGGGACUAAGAAACGAAAGUGCUUCUAAGCUUGAAAAAGUUGAGGUUGCCUCGACUUCAUCUUUUGGUGCAGAUGUUGAUCCUAGGGCAAUAGACCUUGCCAUGAGAAUCGCCGAAAGGAUGUUCCUCAAAAUGAAGGAAGAUGAGGCGAAGAACAUUAUUGAAGAAGAAGAAAAUGAUCGAUGGAGACCAAACGACGAAUCCACCUCUUCACAAGGUUCGUCUUUCAAAUCCACUUCUCAUAUGUGCUUUAUUGCUAAUGGGAGUGACAGUGAAAGCGAAAGUGAGGAUGAGGAGGAGCAACUUUCACUAAGUGACCGAUUGAGAGAGGGAAAGGGUGGGAAUAGACCCAGCCUUUGUGGCCUCCUCAAUGGGGAGUAGGUUCCUUGGAACCGAACCUCGGGAAACAAAUCACCGUAUUCACUUGUGUUGAUCUUUAUCACUCGAUUUGUUUCUUCCCUCUCCUCUCUCUCUCUAAAAGUUCACUUGCUCACAUUGAUCUGAGUUUAAUUUGCUCCCAAACUUAUCUGUAUUGAUUGAGCAACUCAUAGCAAGGAGAACUAUCUUUCGCUCUCCGAAUUCAAUAUUAUUUAUCUCUAACCCUAACCCUGUGCGAAGUGCGUGUUCAAAGUAUAUAAUUUUCAGGUUUCGCCUAUUCACCCCCUCUAGGCGACUUUCAUGCUUCCUAUGGAAGAAUGUCAUUGUUGCCACAUAUUUUUAAGUCAUUAUAUUGGAGCAAAGUGGCGUAACCAUGUCAACCUCUAUUAUCCGUGGAAACGAUCCUUCAAGGAUUGUCGCAAGUUAAUUGGUAUAUCAAAUGUGCGAAUGUAGGAUUUAAACAUAGUGUAAUCUUCAAGACUCCACAUCUAUAUGAAUAGCUAGAAAGAUGACUUGUCUAGGCAAUUAUAGGGAAUUGAACCAUAAACAUUCGGGGUACUCCAAUUAUACAAAAAAUGUAAUUAUGAGAUUCGUGUUGGACAAACAACGUCAAAUUUAACCAAAUUUAUAUUCAGUAUUGUUAAUAUUUAUAUCAAAUAUAUUAUACUAGAACUUAUAAUACAUAGUGAAAUGAACUACGAGCUUUCCAAAGAACCCCAACGUACUUCUUUGCUAAAGAAGACUAUUUUGUACGUGCAUGCAUAGGCAACUAAUUCUUCUAACUAGUUGUUAUAACAUUUUAUUUUAUAUAUUAGUCAGUUGUCAGUAUGUUACUAUGGUUUUCAUAUUCACAAUAUUUAUAAUAUACAUUCUUUCUAGAACAUGAAUAAAAAUGUGUUCAGUGGUUAGACGCUAAGCAUAGGAGGAAUGGUUCUAACCCUAGGUUCUGCAUUUUUUGGAUUUUCUCAUGGGAGAACUUAAUGCAUAAAGGGCGACAUCUUAAUUAAUGUUGGAAAUUGUACAAGUAAUGCAUGCAAAUGGUGAAGACAGAAGUUUUAUCUCAUGAGUAGAAAGCUCAUGUUAUGUAGCACGAAUGAACACCUUAGCUUCGACCUUCAAAGAACGGCCAACACACAUUAAGGAUGGCCCUACAUCUAGAAUUAGCAUGUACUAUCAUAUAUUUCAAUUAGUCAUAAAAAUAUGUAUUCUAUUAAAAUGUAGCAAUGCAUGAUAAAGUUAGGAUUACGUAGGAGAUACAUGGACAACACAACAUUCAUGGAUCCUUUUAUAAAAAUGAAGGCCAAUCAAAUAUUUCAUUAGGCACUUAUUAUAUAACUUGUCAAUCCAUUUCUUAACUCUUCUCUUUUAAACAACAGCAAAGUCUCACUCUAGCUAUAUAUGGAGAUGGAGAAGAUGGAGAAGGAGGAUGACGCCAUUAUUAUUGGCGCCAGCAUCACUGUCGUAAUAGGGUAGUGGUAGCAAAUAGAUAUCACGGUCCAAUGCAUGCAUGUGUAAUGCAUUGCUUGGGAUCCAACCCAAUCUAGUAUAGCUAGCAUAGGCCGGCUUAAAGUAUUGUCAGCACUAAAGUUAAUUAUUUGACGAUGUAGGCGGUGUUGGCCUUCCAGUUGGCAGGGAUGACAUCGUCGUAGACGGUCUUGGUGCCUCCCUCGGUAGUGAGGCGGACGGUGAGGGGUCCCUUAAGCGGUUUGUCACUGUCCUUCCUCCAGAUGGCGCCCUAGGAGUGCUUCAGGGGCUCGUACGUGUCGGAGCCCUUCUCCUUGAUGUCCACCGCCACAAUGUCACCGUCGCCGUCGACGUACUUGACCAGCAGCGCCAGGUAGUUGGGGCCACACCCCUUUUCAAGGUGGAAGGUGACCUUGGAGCCGUACUUGCACUUGACCCUUCGGAACUGCAUGUCGAUGAUGCCCGCCUUGCGCAGCUUCUCCUCCUCACCCUUCUUGGCCAUGGCGCCGAACGUCGUGCCUGCCAAAUCGAAGUGGUACGCCGCGAUAGGCUCAUAGUUCAUAUCCGUGAUGUGCACCACCACGGGCUUGCCGGAGCACUCCACAAGCUUAUCGCACUUGAUCUCGAAGCAGGACCCACAACCCAGACCAUCCUUGAAGAUGGGGAUGUUCCCGCACGCGCCCAUGCUAUUGAAGGGGGGCUUGUUCACGUCCUUGUACCCGCAGCCUCCGCCGUUGUCGUCGGGACCGGCACCCGUCGGCUUGCCAUACCAUGUCGCUUUAGCGUCUAGCCAGUCCUUGCCAUAGGUGGCCGUGAUGUUCUUGCCAGGGGGACUUUGGGAGGACCGCACCAUGCACCGCUCACCAAGAACGCCAACGCCACAGCCAUCGCAACCUGUGCCUGCAUCAACGACCACAUGGUGCUCACAUUCACAACCAUGUUUUAUCUUGGAUCAGUGAAUUGUACUAUGCUACGAUGAAUGAGCGGGUAGACCUGAAUUUAUGGUUGUGCGUGCCAACGGUUGGACGAUCGAGCUUGCAACCGUGAAGCGCGCGCAUGCAUGCAACAACGAGGAGGUAGAGCUUGCAUGGUCGAGCGAGCUAUUCUCUUGGUCGCCAGUUUACUAAUUGGUUCCGUAAGUCGAAGGUGACCAUGCAUGGUAGCUCUGCAUGCAAAGAUGCUCGUAUGGUUGCGAUACUUAUGCCAUGGUGCUACUUUGGCUAAUGGUGAAGCGAGGACUCUCCUUCUUCUCGCUUUGAAAGGGAAAUAGCCUCAACAUUUCCUAUAAUUGAUUUUGGUGUUUGACGUCCAUCACAAAACCAUAUGGACUAAUUAGUUUGCCUAGUGGACAUUUUUCCCACGUGCAUAAAGUUCAUAUAAACAUACAAAGAAAAGGACUUGAGUGAAUUCUACAAAGUUUGGAGCAUAUAAGUUCUUGUGCUGCCAGUAGCGCACCGGACACUGUCCGGUACCCUGGCUGAGCACCUCGCGAACUGGUCGCUCUCGGGUUUUCUCAGCGUUAGUCCGCUAAAAUUCAUCGGACUAUCCGGUGCACCACCGUACUGUCCGGUGAGACAACAGAGCAACGGUCAACUUCGCGCAAUGGUCAACUUCGCUGACUACAGGGCAGUCUAUAGCGCAGAAGUCAGAAGUCUGUCUGCAAAGUCAGAAUACACCAGACUGUCCGGUGUGCCAUCGGACAGUCCGGUGCCACAAGAAGACAGAAGACUUCAACGGUCAACAGCUCCAAACCCCAACGGUCGGCUGACGUGGCACUCACCGGACAGUGAACAGUGCAGUGUCCGUUGCACCACCGGACUGUCCGGUGUGCCCAUCGACAGCAACGACUGGAAUAGUGGUUGGGGCUAUAAAUACCCCCGACCACCACCAUUCAAGCCAUCCAAGCAUUGCAACUUCCUCAUUCAAUAUUAGAGCAAAAGAAUACACUCCAAAGACACAAUCAAAGCAUCAAAUCCUCUUCAAGCUUCAAAAUCAAGUCAAGUGAUCAAAAGUGCUUAGUGACUUGAGAGAGGCUGAUUUGUGUUUGUUUUGUUGCUCUUGUUGCUUGGUUGCAUUCUUCUUCUCAUUCUAAACUUCUCAAGUGUUUUGUAAAGCAAGCGAGAGACACCUAAUUGUGUGGUGAUCCUUGCGGGGUCUUAGUGACCCGCGUGAUUAAGAAGAUGCACUUAACCGGUCUAAGUGACCGAUUGAGAGAGGGAAAGGGUUGGAAUAGACCCAGCCUUUGUGGCCUCCUCAAUGGGGAGUAGGUUCCAUGGAACCGAACCUCGGGAAACAAAUCACCGUGUUCACUUGUGUUGAUCUUUAUCACUCGAUUUGUUUCUUCCCUCUCCUCUCUCUCUAAAAGUUCCCUUGCUCACAUUGAUUUGAGUUUGCUCCCAAACUUAUCCGCAUUGAUUGAGCAACUCAUAGCAAGGAGAACUAUCUUCCGCUCUCCGAAUUCAAUAUUAAUUAUCUCUAACCCUAACCCUGUGCGAAGUGCGUGUUCAAAGUAUAUAAUUUUUAGGUUUCGCCUAUUCAUCGCCUCUAGGCGAGUUUCAUGCUUCCUAUGGAAGAAUGUCAUUGUUGCCACAUAUCUUUAAGUCAUUAUAUUGGAGCAAAGUGGUGUAACCAUGUCAACCUCUAUUAUUCGUGGAAACGAUCCUUCAGGGAUUGUCGCAAGUUAAUUGGUAUAUCAAAUGUGCGAAUGUAGGAUUUAAACAUAGUGUAAUCUUCAAGACUCCACAUCUACAUGAAUAGCUAGAAAGAUGACUUGUCUACUCAAUUAUAGGGAAUUGAACCAUAAACAUUCGGGGUACUCCAAUUAUACAAAAAAUGUAAUUUUGAGAUUCGUAUUGGACAAAUGAGGUCAAAUUUAACCAAAUUUAUAUUCAGUAAUGUUAAUAUUUAUAUCAAAUAUAUUAUACUAGAACUUUUAAUACACAGUGAAAUGAACUACGAGCUUUCCAAAGAACCCCAACGUUCUUCUUUGUUAAAAAUACAAUUUUGUACGCGCAUGCAUAGGCAACUAAUUCUUCUAACUAGUUGUUAUAACAUUUUAUUUUAUAUAUAGUAGUCAGUUGUCAGUAUGUUACUAUGGUUUUCAUAUUCACAAUAUUUAUAAUAUACAUUCUUCUAGAACAUGAAUAAAUAUGUGUUUCGGUGGUUAGACGCUAAGCAUAGGAGGAAUGGUUCUAACCCUAGGUUCUGCAUUUUUUGGAUUUUGUCAUGGGAGAACUUAAUGCAUAAAGGGCGAUAUCUUAAUUAAUGUUGGAAAUUGUACAAGUAAUGCAUGCAAAUGGUGAAGACAGAAGUUUUAUCUCAUGAGUAGAAAGCUCAUGUUAUGUAGCACGAAUGAACACCUUAGCUUCGACCUUCAAAGAAUGACCAACGCACGUUAAUGAUGGCCCUACAUCUAGAAUCAACAUGUACUGUCAUAUAUUUCAAUUAGUCAUAAAAAAUAUGUAUUCUAUUAAAAUGUAGCCAUGCAUGAUAAAGUUAGGAUUACGUAGGAGAUACAUGGACAACACAACAUUCAUGGAUCCUUUUAUAACAAAUGAAGGCCUAUCAAAUAUUUCAUUAGGCACUUAUUAUAUAACUUGUCAAUCCAUUUCUUAACUCUUCUCUUUUAAACAACAGCGAAGUCUCACUCUAGCUAUAUAUGGAGAUGGAGAAGAUGGAGAAGGAGGAUGACGCCAUUAUUGUUGGCGCCAGCAUCACUGUCGUAAUAGGGUAGUGGUAGCAAAUAGAUAUCACGGUCCAAUGCAUGCAUGUGUAAUGCAUUGCUUGGGAUCCAACCCAAUCUAGUAUAGCUAGCAUAGUCCGGCUUAAAGUAUUGUUAGCACUAAAGUUAAUUAUUUGGCGGUGUAGGCGGUGUUGGCCUUCCAGUUGGCAGGGAUGACAUCGUCGUAGACGGUCUUGGUGCCUCCCUCGGUAGUGAGGCGGACGGUGAGGGGUCCCUUAAGCGGUUUGUCGCUGUCCUUCCUCCAGAUGGCACCCCAAGAGUGCUUCAGGGGCUCGUACGUGUCGGAGCCCUUCUCCUUGAUGUCCACCGCCACAAUGUCACCGUCGCCGUCGACGUACUUGACCAGCAGCGCCAGGUAGUUGGGGCCGCACCCCUUUUCAAGAUGGAAGGUGACCUUGGAGCCGUACUUGCACUUGACCCUUCGGAACUGCAUGUCGAUGAUGCCCGCCUUGCGCAGCUUCUCCUCCUCACCCUUCUUGGCCAUGGCGC